AACGAACGCUGGCGGCAGGCUUAACACAUGCAAGUCGAACGCAUCCUUCGGGGUGAGUGGCAGACGGGUGAGUAACGCGUGGGAACGUGCCCUUCAGUUCGGGAUAACCCAGGGAAACUUGGGCUAAUACCGGAUACGUGCGAGAGCAGAAAGAUUUAUCGCUGAAGGAUCGGCCCGCGUCUGAUUAGCUAGUUGGUGGGGUAAUGGCCCACCAAGGCGACGAUCAGUAGCUGGUCUGAGAGGAUGAUCAGCCACAUUGGGACUGAGACACGGCCCAAACUCAUACGGGAGGCAGCAGUGGGGAAUAUUGGACAAUGGGCGCAAGCCUGAUCCAGCCAUGCCGCGUGAGUGAUGAAGGCCUUAGGGUUGUAAAGCUCUUUUACCCGGGACGAUAAUGACUGUACCGGGAGAAUAAGCCCCGGCUAACUUCGUGCCAGCAGCCGCGGUAA
rnacentral:rRNA from 1 species